rnacentral:rRNA from 1 species
UACGUAGGGCGCAAGCGUUGUCCGGAAUUAUUGGGCGUAAAGAGCUCGUAGGCGGCUUGUCGCGUCGGAUGUGAAAGCCCGGGGCUUAACUCCGGGUCUGCAUUCGAUACGGGCUAGCUAGAGUGUGGUAGGGGAGAUCGGAAUUCCUGGUGUAGCGGUGAAAUGCGCAGAUAUCAGGAGGAACACCGGUGGCGAAGGCGGAUCUCUGGGCCGUUACUGACGCUGAGGAGCGAAAGCGUGGGGAGCGAACAGG